CUAAGGGACCUCCGAAGGGCAACUUAUAAGUCCCUCAGUCUGCAAUCAUGAGAAGUGCACACACUGCCUACGGGCACACGUUGCCUCUCGCAUGAAGAUGAGAAGUGCACAUGCUGCCUACGGGCAUACGCUGCCUCUAGUGUGAAGAUAAGAUGAGCACACACUAUCUACGGGCACAUGUUUCCUCUCAUGUAAAGACGAAAAGUGCACAUGCUGCCUACAGACACAUGCUACCUGUCGCAUGAAGAUGAGAUGAGUACACAUUGCCUACAGGCACACACUGCCUCUUGCGUGAAGACGAGAUAAGCACACACUAUUUACAGAUACAUGCUACCUCUCGCAUGAAGAUGAGAAGUGCACACACUACCUACGGGCAUAUGCUACCUCUCGUAUGAAGACGAGAUGAGCACACGCUGCCUACGGACACACGCUAUCUCUUGCAUGAAGAUGAGAAAUACACAUGCUGCCUAUGGGCAUACGCUAUCUCUCGCAUAAAGAUGAGAUGUGCACAUGCUGCUCCGCUCACAAGAUGAGCCGAGCACAUGCUGCCUCUCGCAUAACAAUGGGCAUAUGCUACUCUACUCACAAGACGAGCUGAGCACACAUUGUCUCUUCUCCAUAGGGUAGAGCCAAGCUCUGCCUAUGGGGUGCAGCUGAGUUGCCAUCUACAGAGUAGGGCCAAAGCAGCACUUACCGAGCAAAACCAGCAGCCCUCUGGAUGGAGUCGCCUUCAGCAAGGUUCAUUCGGGA
rnacentral:lncRNA from 1 species